CAUGCCCGCUUCCAUGACGGUGCCCCAUCGGGGUGAAACGGGAAUGCGGUGAGACACCGCAGCUGCCCCCGCAACUGUAAGCGACGAGUCCGCAUCACAUGCCACCGGCCCAUCCGGGAAGGCGAUGCCGGGUAAAGAAGCGCGAGCCAGGAGACCGGCCGUCAUACGUGUCGACGC
rnacentral:ncRNA from 1 species